AGAAGCGCCGCCUCGCGAGCCUCUGGUGAAGCUCUGCCAGACACCUGUCAGCAGGCACUGCCGCGCCGCGACACUCACGCCCACCCCCAGCCGCCGCUGUUUGCGCUCUCCGGUGGCGAGUGAGGCGCUGCUCGGGUAACCGGCUUCGCAGACGCAACUGCCUCUGGUGACUCCCACGCAGCCACAUCCACAGCCGCAGCCCACUGCGCCGUAGCCGAUUGACGCCGCCCUCGGAUCGUCGAGCACACUAGCGGAGGGACACAACAAACAGG